rnacentral:rRNA from 1 species
GAUGAACGCUGGCGGCGUGCUUAACACAUGCAAGUCGAACGGGAAUUAUUUUAUUGAAACUUCGGUCGAUUUAAUUUAAUUCUAGUGGCGGACGGGUGAGUAACGCGUGGGUAACCUGCCUUAUACAGGGGGAUAACAGUCAGAAAUGGCUGCUAAUACCGCAUAAGCGCACAGAGCUGCAUGGCUCAGUGUGAAAAACUCCGGUGGUAUAAGAUGGACCCGCGUUGGAUUAGCUUGUUGGCAGGGUAACGGCCUACCAAGGCGACGAUCCAUAGCCGGCCUGUGAGGGUGAACGGCCACAUUGGGACUGAGACACGGCCCAGACUCCUACGGGAGGCAGCAGUGGGGAAUAUUGCACAAUGGGGGAAACCCUGAUGCAGCGACGCCGCGUGAAGGAAGAAGUAUCUCGGUAUGUAAACUUCUAUCAGCAGGGAAGAUAGUGACGGUACCUGACUAAGAAGCCCCGGCUAACUACGUG